rnacentral:rRNA from 1 species
AUGGGCUGUCCACAUCCAUGUGCCAUAUGUCCUCGUAUGCAUGCACAUGCAGUUAAUGCUCACUUGUUGGUGGUCGGCCUGCCAUGGGGUUUCAAUUUUCAAACGCUAUUGCUUUCCCCUCCAGCGGACCAAAAUUUUGACAGAAUAAAAAAGAUCGCAGGAAUUGACAGAACAAAUUUUAACAACAACGCCACACAAAUAUCCCCCGUCUUGUUUAUUUCGAAAUAUCUCAUAGUAGUAGCAGACAAUAGGGCCUUGUCAGAUGAAAAGUGUGAUUUUCUCGAACAACAAAGAAAGAUGAAAAGUGUGAGGAACCACACGUUAAUGCCGUGGAGAGGAGAGGGGAAAUGUAUGAACAGCCAUGCUACUAUUACAAGAGGAGCUACUUAG